AUUGAACGCUGGCGGCAGGCUUAACACAUGCAAGUCGAGCGGUAACAGAGAGAAGCUUGCUUCUCUGCUGACGAGCGGCGGACGGGUGAGUAAUGCCUAGGAAUCUGCCUAGUAGUGGGGGAUAACUUGCCGAAAGGUAAGCUAAUACCGCAUACGUCCUACGGGAGAAAGGAGGGGACCUUCGGGCCUUUCGCUAUUAGAUGAGCCUAGGUCGGAUUAGUUAGUUGGUGAGGUAAUGGCUCACCAAGACCGCGAUCCGUAACUGGUCUGAGAGGAUGAUCAGUCACACUGGAACUGGGACACGGUCCAGACUCCUACGGGAGGCAGCAGUGGGGAAUAUUGGGCAAUGGGGGGAACCCUGAUCCAGCCAUGCCGCGUGUGUGAAGAAGGUCUUAGGAUUGUAAAGCACUUUAAGUUGGGAGGAAGAGCAGUUAACUAAUAUUUGACUGUUUUGACGUUACCGACAGAAUAAGCACCGGCUAACUUCGUGCCAGCCGCCGCGGUAA
rnacentral:rRNA from 1 species